GAUGAACGCUGGCGGCGUGCCUAACACAUGCAAGUCGAACGGAAAGACGAUGAGCUUGCUCCUUUGACGUUAGCGGAAGGCGGGUGUGUAACGCGUGGAUCACCUACCUAUAUUUCGGGGAUAAUUUCGGAAAACCGGCUAUAAUACCAGAGAAUAUCUUGAACCGCAGGGUUCAAUGGAAAAUGGCGGCUUUGCUGUCUCUUAUAGAUGGUUACGGGCUGCAUUGGCUAGUUGGUAAGGUCACGGCCUACCAAGGCGACGAUGCGUAACCGACCUGAGAGGCUGAUCGGCCACACGGGAACGGAGACAGGGACCAGACGCCUACGGGAGGGAGCAGUAGGGAAUCUGCCGCAAUGGGCGAAAGCUUGACGCAGCAACGCCGCGUGAGUGACGAAGGCCUUCGGAGCGGAAAGCCCUGUUAUGGGGGAAGAACAGAUGUGGACGUAAACAAGGCCUGCUUGACGGUACCUAAUCAGAAAGCACCGGCUAACUACGUG
rnacentral:rRNA from 1 species